rnacentral:rRNA from 1 species
GACGAACGCUGGCGGCGUGCUUAACACAUGCAAGUCGAACGGAAAGGCCCUGCUUUUGUGGGGUGCUCGAGUGGCGAACGGGUGAGUAACACGUGAGUAACCUGCCCUUGACUUUGGGAUAACUUCAGGAAACUGGGGCUAAUACCGGAUAGGAGCUCCUGCUGCAUGGUGGGGGUUGGAAAGUUUCGGCGGUUGGGGAUGGACUCGCGGCUUAUCAGCUUGUUGGUGGGGUAGUGGCUUACCAAGGCUUUGACGGGUAGCCGGCCUGAGAGGGUGACCGGCCACAUUAGGACUGAGAUACGGACCAGACUCCUACGGGAGGCAGCAGGGGGGAAUAUUGCACAAUGGGCGGAAGCCUGAUGCAGAAACGCCGCGUGCGGGAUGACGGCCUUCGGGUUGUAAACCGCUUUCGCCUGUGACGAAGCGUGAGUGACGGUAAUGGGUAAAGAAGCACCGGCUAACUACGUG